GUGCAGCAACCGCGGUAAUACGUAGGGGGCGAGCGUUAUCCGGAAUUACUGGGCGUAAAGGGCGAGUAGGCGGUCUGUUCAGUCAGGUGUGAAAUUUCAGGGCUCAACCCUGAAACUGCGCUUGAAACUGGCAGGCUAGAGGACAGGAGAGGGAAGUGGAAUUCCCGGUGUAGCGGUGGAAUGCGUAGAUAUCGGGAGGAACACCAGUGGCGAAGGCGGCUUCCUGGACUGUACCUGACGCUGAGGAGCGAAAGCUGGGGGAGCAAACAGGAUUAGAUACCCUGGUAGUCCCAGCUGUAAACGAUGAGUGCUAGGUGUGGAGGGCUACAAUCCUCCGUGCCGCAGUUAACGCAAUAAGCACUCCGCCUGGGGAGUACGGCCGCAAGGCUAAAACUCAAAGAAAUUGGCGG
rnacentral:rRNA from 1 species